rnacentral:rRNA from 1 species
CUACGGGUCGCUGCAGUGAGGAAUAUUGGGCAAUGGGCGCAAGCCUGACCCAGCCAUGCCGCGUGAAGGAUGAAUGCCCUACGGGUUGUAAACUUCUUUUGUACGGGACGAAACUUCCGAUCGUGAUCGGAACUGACUGUACCGUUCGAAUAAGCGUCGGCUAACUCCGUGCCAGCAGCCGCGGUAAUACGGAGGAUGCAAGCGUUAUCCGGAUUCAUUGGGUUUAAAGGGUGCGUAGGCGGAAUAGUAAGUCAGUGGUGAAAGCCUGCGGCUUAACCGUAGAAAUGCCAUUGAUACUGUUAUUCUUGAGUCCAGUUGAGGUGGGCGGAAUGUGUAAUGUAGCGGUGACAUGCUUAGAUAUUACACAGAACACCAAUUGCGAAGGCAGCUCACUAAACUGUCACUGACGCUGAGGCACGAAAGCGUGGGGAGCAAACAGGAUUAGAUACCCGCGUAGUC